UGAAUGUGGAUGGUUCUGUUACGUGCAAGGAGAAAUGUGGUCCAUCUGUUUCAGUGGCGCUUGUGGGAGUGGCUGGCGACCGUCAAAAGAAGACAGUUGUUUUAACUGACGAGAGCAAUCAAUUUCACUUUUCAGACAUAUUGCCUGGAAAGUAUAGAGUUGAGGUCAAAAGCAUUUCGCCGGAAACAGCAUCUGAGGAAGACAAUUGGUGCUGGGACCGUAGCUCCAUUGAUGUGAAUGUCGGAACUGAGGAUAUCAAAGGGAUCGAAUUUGUCCAGAAGGAUUAAUAUUGUCUCCACCCAUGAGGUGGAUGCUAAAAUUCUUCAUCCUUAGUGGGUUACCUACUAAUUUAAAAAUCAAGAAAGGUUUGCAGAAAAUAUGCGUUGAGUCACCUGGUGGGCAUGAGCUUCAACUUUCUGACUCUUGCAUAUCCUUUGGGAGCAAUUCAAUAAAGAUAGAUGUCUCAAAUCCCCAGCCUAUUCAUCUGAGAGCAGAGAAGUACCUCGUUAAAGGUCUGAUAAAUGUGGAGUCUAGCUCAACCGAGAUUGAAUCUGAGUUGCCAGAGAAUUUCAUUGUUGAUAUUCAAGACAAGGAAGGAAGUGUUAUCAACAGUAUUUCUGCUAAACUUGCAUCUGAUGGGAGUGGUGUGUACGAGUACUAUACCUGGGCAAAUCUUGGAGAAAAGAUUAGCUUUGUUCCUCGGGAUUCUAGGAGUAAUGUGGGGAAGAAGAUGUUGUUUUAUCCGAAAGAGCUUCGUGCGGUAGUGUCAAAUGAUGGUUGCCAAGCUGCUGUUUCCCCAUUUACUGGUCGACUUGGUCUUUACAUACAAGGAUCGGUCUCUCCUCCUCUUCCCGGUGUUAACAUUAAGGUCUCUGCAGCAAAAGACAGCCUUAUUUCUUCACUUAAGAAAGGCGAAGUAGCUGUUGAAACAAGCACAUCACCAGAUGGUUCUUUUGUUGCUGGGCCUUUGUAUGAUGAUAUACCAUAUGACACAGAUGCUUCAAAGAAGGAAAGCAGAACGAAGAACUAAACAUGAACCUGCUAGUGGAGAUCAAAUCAGCCACUGAUGAAUCUAAAACAGAGAAUGUCUUUCCUCUACCACUUUCCAACUUCUUCCAAGUAAAAGGCUUGUCCAGAGGUAAACACCUUGUGCAGCUUAAAUCCAACCGUCCUUUAGGCUCCCAUAAAGUAGUGUCAGAGAUCAUCGAAGUGGAUUUCGAGACAAAUGCCCAGAUCCAUGUCGGUCCACUUCGAUACAGCAUCGUGGCAGAUCAUCAGAGUCAGAAGUGACGCCUGCAGCUAUAUUGCCACUGGUUACUGGCAUUGCGGCAAUUGCUCUGUUCAUCAGCAUCCCCAGGUUGAAAGAGAUUUACCAAGCCACGGUUGGGAUGUCGUCUCCCGGGUUCACUGCAUCUAUCAAGAGAGAACCUCGAAAAGCUGUCGCUAGAAAGAAGACUUUCUGAAGCAUUUACCAACUACACUGGUGUAGUACGCAAAUGUGGGAGACUAAGUGAACGUUUGUACUUAUCAAGUGAGCUACAGUGUUCAGAUCUGGACGCUGGUAGUCUACAACAAGAUGAAGCUAAUGAGAAGACAUAGGAGAGCAUUUUGCUUUUCAUGUUUUGGAGAUUGGUCGAUUAGAUGCAAAAUUAUUGGAUGCUUGAUCUAAGGGUUGCUUACUUUCGAAGGACUAUCUAUAUAGAGAAUAGAGACCAAGUUUCGUUAAAUAGUGGUUUUUUUGUAGUCGCCCAUUAUGAUUUCUCCUCUCUGAUUUAUAAGAAUUGAACUCCAUAAGGAUUA